rnacentral:lncRNA from 1 species
UAGCUGGUAAAACAUUAUUUCUGGGUGUGUCUGUGAGAGUGUUUCUGGAAGAGGUUACUAUUUGAGUCAGUAGACUGAGUAAAGAUGAUCACUCUACUGAAUGUGGGUUGGUAUCAUUCAGUCCACUGAGAACCUGAAUAAAAACCAAAGGCAGAGAAAGGGACUUUGGACUUGCACUGGAAUUACACCCCAGCUUUCCUGAUUCUACAGUUUGAAGAUGGUAGAUUGUGGGACUUCUCAGACUCCAUAAUGAGAGGAUUCCAGAUGGAGUGAACUCAGUAGAGGCGGUGCUUCGACGGCUGAUGAUCUUGCGGAGAGGAGAGAGGAGCAUUAGUUACGGUUUUAAGUCCCGGCUGAACUGGCAGGGGUUACAUGACCUCAGACUCAGGGCCUUGUUAAGGAUGUGCAUGCUUCUCCUUUGCCUUCCACCGUGAUUGUAAGUUUCCUGAGGCCUUCCCAGCAAUGCAGAACCGGCUCACCGGCAGCUGUUCUCCCCAUCCGUGUGCAGGGACGUCUCGGCCCGUCGAAGACCCAGGCGGGCAAAGGAGUGGUACAAGCCAGGUUUGGGCACCAUGUGAUAAGAUGACCUGCAGGUCUGGCCUUGGAUUUCUGCAGAGGUUUGUUGGGAAGGCAUCACUUAGGAGGCUGGCAGACCAUGAGAAAGUCUCACCUGGAAGCGGUGGAAGUCCUGCGGCUUGAAGUCAUUGGGGGAGCAGCCGCACCAGUCCACGAUGUGCUUGUACUGGCACUUGCAGCCCAGCUUGCGAUUCCAGUUGGUGAUGCGCAGGUUGUUGUCCACCAUGGUGUCGCAGUGGGGGCUGUUCUCCAGGACCGUAUGGAAGAAGGACUGCAGGGGAGAGAGGGACCCAGCCUGAGACCUCUCCCAGCCUCCCACAGAUGAACUGGGGUGGGAAAUGGUGAACCCUUGCUCUGAGUUCAUGUAAGAACUGGUUGUUUAAAAGAAUGUGGCAUCUCAUCAGAAGCUGGGCGGCUUCCUGUACAGCUUGCAGAACUGCAAGCCAAAUAAACCUCUUUUCUUUAUAAAUUACCAAGCCUCAGA